rnacentral:lncRNA from 1 species
CUCAGUCUCUGUUCCCCCGGACUUCAGCCCCACUCUGGGAAGCCAGCAGGAAAAUGCAGUCCAAGGCAAGAGAGGUGCCCGUGUCCCAGCUCCAGACAAGGACAGCAUCGCGGGACCCCCACUGGUACCCACAACACCUUCACCAGGGUGUGUGACGGCUUGCCCUGCUCUCCUCAAGAAGCUGACGUUAAGCAACUGGCCCAGGGUCACCCGGCCAGGAAGUGGCAAGGGGAGGGGUUUCCAUCCAGACUCUCGACCUCUCUUAACCUCUUCCUGGGGGGAACAGAUGACGCUCAGCAUGUGGGUUGUGUGCGGUCCUCCAAGCCCGUUGCUGAAUCAUUUCCUCCAGCUGAUCCUACUGCACCCAACGUUAGAGCCCCAGGAAGGGCCCUGCUGGCCCUGGCAAGUGUGGGCCUCCCAGGGAUGCUCGUAGGUAGGGCUGAGGCCCUCCAGGGAGGCACUGAUAACAGCCUGUCUCAGUCUCCGUGGCCUGGCACGGAGCCUGGCACAUAGUAGGUGCUCAGCCAACUGCUGCUGAAUGAACAUACAGUGCAUGGCUGUUUGUGAGUCAGUGAAAUACUCCAGGGUAACCAGCUUUCCUCUCUAAUCUGUGUUAAAAAACAAAAUGAAGCUCUCCUCGUAUUUGCAAGCUCACAAUCCAUCUCGAAAUAGAAUUAUGCUCCCCUACAUUCCCCACCGUGUCUGGCUCCCAAGAACUUAGAUGAUUGCCGACUUCAGCUUCGAGAUGGAACGUGUCAGAUUCUGACAGCCAGAAGCGGAGAAGCAUCGAAGACGUUCAAAAAUACGGCAGCCAACCAGACAGCUCUGCCAGCCCCCAAGGAAGACGCCGAGACAGGCCGCAGAGGCUCUCGUCGUCCGGACCCGUGAAGCUUGAGCGGCUCACCUGCUGCUCGGCUUCCCAGGAGGGGCUCGUUCUUUCCGGGAGCCCCAGAAGUGAUGCAAUA